rnacentral:misc_RNA from 2 species
AACGCACAUUGCGCCCCUUGGUAUUCCAUGGGGCAUGCCUGUUCGAGCGUCAUUUGUACCUUCAAGCUAUGCUUGGUGUUGGGUGUUUGUCUCGCCUUUGCGUGUAGACUCGCCUCAAAACAAUUGGCAGCCGGCGUAUUGAUUUCGGAGCGCAGUACAUCUCGCGCUUUGCACUCAUAACGACGACGUCCAAAAGUACUUUUUACACUCUUGACCUCGGAUCAGGUAGGGAUACCCGCUGAACUUAA